GCCCAUUGUUACAGAAUUUAGAGGACUCGGUGUCCCGACAAGCUUCUUGGUGGGGGUGGGGGUGGGAAACACGUAAUCUUCCGGGGGAAACGUAGGUCGGCCACCGCCCCGCGCUGGUUGUCUCUAAAAGAGGCGGGCUCAGUUUCCUGGGUGAUGUUGCCAUACCCAGUCCGAAAUCCUACUUUCUCCACUUACUGCAGGGUUUGAACUUAGAGGCGGCAGUAAACACUCACACAGGUUUGGCGUGAUGUCGCCAGAGUCUCGGCGCCUCCUCCAGUCACUUGAUAUCUGCCUGUCAGGGUAUUUCGAUUUCCUCCUGGUUUCCCAAAAAUGCCGCUCCUUUGCCUAGUGCCAGAGUCACAGUUUUGGUGUUAUUGCAUCCUCACUCACCUCUUUCCAUUCUAACGCCUUUCCUGUACUGUGCCUUGGGUGUAGCCUCCUGGGAGAGCAGGGAUAGGAGAACCCAGGGAGCUAAACCCCCACCACAGGAUGAGUAGGAACCUGAGCUGGUUUGAGCAGCUUGAUGCACUUCUGAAGGCAACUGAUGGAAAUGCGGCCCGGAUGAAGGAGACCUGGCUGGACCCUGGAUUUCCUCUUGUCAGUUGCCUACCCAAUUAGAAGCCCAAGCUAAACAGCCUUGGGCUCUAGAGACUCCCUCGUCCGAGAGAGUUUGAGCUGGGCUGAAGCCUAUAGACCAUCCUUUCUCUGGGAUGAAGUUACUAUUCUCCAAUCUCAGCUUCAAUCUCAGUCUCAGGUGACUGAAGCACUGAAGCAGGCUGUACAGGGACUGCUGAAAGAGUGAUAGCAGCAGAUGUAAAAGAUCAGUGCCCUGGAAGCAUCAUUAAAGUUGCUGCAGAGGGCCUCAGAAGGCAAGCCCAUCUCCUAGAGCAACUCCUGGAGGAUCUGAGAAGGGAACUGCUGGACCUUCAGAUCCAGUUAUAGGAGAGGGCCCACACCCAACCCCAAGACCAGGAAUCAAGACCAGGAGAGUGCAGUACUACCACUGGUCUUCAUCAGCGGCUGCAGAUUGAUUAUGUAAUGGGCAAGGCCUUAACUUCUUGAACUUCUUGAGGCUUCGGAACUCUUGGUGUUCUGGGAGACUAAUGGCCUCCUCACUCUGAGUUUGUUGAUUAGAAUGACACUGCUAUCACUCAUGUAGGCGGCAACUGCUAUGGAGGGAGUCUGAGAUUCUGCAGGAGGAACUAAAGUUGCUGGGAGACCAGCUGAUUUUCAGCACUACGCAGGUCACAAGGGAAGGAAGAAGUUGGAGAACAGUCAUUUUACAUUCUCCCUCAUCUACAGGCCAGCACCAUGGGCUGCUAGUGAAACAUAUGGCUGAGACCCGGCAGGGUCAGGCAUGCAGCUGGAAGAUCUCCAGAGGAGCACCCUUUCUAACCUCAGACCUGGCAGCUCUCGUCUCCAUGCCCAGAGUCUUGAGCAAGAGAACCUAUUCUUCCAGGACCACAAGAUGCUCUUGAGUGACCCAUGAGGACUUGUGAAUAGUGUGAUGAAGCUUUUUGCCCACCCUCCCCCCAAGGUUGUUUUUGGGUAGUCCUCCCAUCCCCUUUGAUUCAUCUGGGAAGUGGCCUCUCUACCAAGACUUCUCACUGCCUACCUAUCCCUCCUCUCCAGCUGCAAUAAAGUGGCUUAACUUUC